AUUGAACGCUGGCGGCGUGCCUAACACAUGCAAGUCGAGCGGUAACGCGGGGGCAACCCUGGCGACGAGCGGCGAACGGGUGAGUAACGUUUGGGAAUCUACCUACUAGUGGGGGACAAC
rnacentral:rRNA from 1 species